AAUGAAAAUUCGCAGCUUCCGUUUUUGCUGAGGAAGGCAGAAACAGGACUGACGGCGGAGCUUCGGUAGUCAAGGUUCCCUAAAACUCCCAAGUGACUCCUCACUGGCUGGCUCACUACAGGGGGACAAAGACUCCACUCGGAAGUGUACAGGCCCCGACCUGAGCCUGAGUGAGACCUCUGCAGCUGCACUCACCCUUUGAGCCAAGGCCUACGAAAUGACUCUCCAUUUAAAGACGCUACCUCUCCCAUGACCAACAAAACUCCACUGCAUCAUGAGGCCUUCAAGAGGGGGUCAUCUUACUUGUGAUUUCGAUUUUGGACCGCCUGCUGCUGGACCUGCUGGAUCUGUUGAGGCGCAGGUCUCUUGCGGGACUGGUCCAUCCCUGACUGGGCCAGACCAGGUCGGACUGAAGGGUUCCCCCCAUAGCCAGGAGGUCCCAUGGAAGGUCCCUGAGGUGUCAUUCGGCUACCUGGCAGCAUACCUGGUCUCUACAGAAGGGAGAGGACCCAGAGAUGUCACACUUUUCCUUGCUAGCCCCACCAAGAAAGGAAAAAUGGUGGCAGCCUGGAUUUCAGGGCUAUAACAGCCUGGGUAUUCCUGGGGACACGGGGGCUGCCCACUCCCCUCUGCAUUCCAUGACCAUCCCAGGGCCCACUUCGCCCAACCUGGUUCCACACUCACUCCUCACACGGAAACAAUGCCGCCGGGAGCAGGUAAGGAUGCUAACCCC